UUUUUUUUUUUUUCUAAUACAAAUAAAAUUAAAUUGAUUUUUUUUUUGGGAGAAUUAGUAUAACUAUUUGGUGUAAAUGGGCAGAUAAAAAUAUUAAUAUUAGCUUCUAAAGUUCUAAUAUAUAAAGGGAAAUAAAUAAUAAAUAUAAUUUUUAGAAAAAUAUGUAAAUUUCAAAUAAAUUUAUUGUUAAGGUAAACAUAAUACAUGAGUGGAGGGUUGGGAGGAACUCAUUUAAAUUUUUUUAUAAAAAUAAAAUAAAAUAAAAUAAUAAAAAAUUUUGAUUUAUUUAUUUUUCCUCUUUUAAACCCUACCUCUAGAAAGCUCUGUUUUUCUCGGUUCCGAUUUCAACUGAAUACGGUUUGCGGCUCUCUGCGUCUUGAGCGGCAGCAACUCUCCGACAAGCCCUCUACCGGUGACCACUCUCCAGAAAGCCCUCAGAAGCUUCGGAGUCGUUUUCGAAAACAUUAGGUGAGUCCUUGCUCCCAAAAAAAACCCUAAAUGCUAUAAAUUUACCGAAAAUUGCCCUAAACCCUAGAGAAAAAUCCCUAAAUUAAUGUGAGCAAUUUCUUUGAAUUGGCGCAGAAAAAAAACUCUACAACGUUUCAAUUUUGUAAUCUUCUAUUGGCUGUCAAUCCAUCAAAACAUGGGAAAAGCAAAGAAAGCCCAAAAAUUUGCUGUCAUGAAGAAGAUGGUCACCUCCAAAGCACUUAAAAAGUAAGAUUUUUCUUUUAUACAGAUUUUUUUCCCUCUCUGUAAUAGAUUUAUGUUCCUCUAAUUUUCUUCAAUUGAAUAUAUCUUGAAUUUGUUUUUGGUUUUAUUUAGACACAAAGAAGAGGUUUUGAACCCUACCAAGAAGGACGAAAACAAAGAGAAAACCUCCAGAAAUGUGUAAGUUUUUCUUAAUAAACAAUUUUUCCGCUGCAUUAAUUUCAGAAUUUGCUGUGUUUAAUCAUUGUUAAAUUAUUAUUUAAUUUUCUGAGGAUGCAGGCCAUAUGUUCCGUCCGCUCUUUUCUUCAAGUACAACACUGCUUUGGGGCCGCCUUAUCGGGUUUUGGUCGAUACCAAUUUCAUCAAUUUUUCUAUUCAGAAUAAAGUGAGUGUUUACUGUUGUUUUGUUAACGUAGGGAACAUGAUCUUGUUUAGGUUCUAUUCAAUGUUUGUUUUCUAUGAAUAUAUCUCAAGUUUUCUUUUCUUUUUCUUCUUUCUUCUUCUUCUUCUUUUUUUUUUUUUUUUUUUUUUUUUUUUUUUUGAGAAUUUUCUUUUAGAUUUUUGUGAAAGCUAGUAAUUGUUAUGUGAUUUUGGAAUUCUGGAAGUGUCUUUCUUGGUUUUUAAGAGUUAUAGCAGAUGUGAUUUUUGCUUCAAAAAGCAGGAAAACUACUUCCAAGGUGCUAGCAUAUGAUGCAUUGUAAGUCCUUAGAUGCCCAUUGGUGAAUAUGCUCAAUCGAUGUUAAGUCCAUAUGGUGGGAGAGAAGUAGGAGAGCUUUAAAUAAUGGUGAAAGUUUGGAUCAAACAAUUAAGAGUUGUUUCUUGAAUCCCUUUUAGGAGUGGGUAAGAUUGUAUAUUGGGGACAGAUCUCUAUCGUUGUUAGAGUUUGUGGACUGGAUAGGCUCUUCGUAGGGCAUGACUGCUGGUUUUUGUGUUCCCGCGCUUCUUUUUGGUUUUUUGGUUGCUUUUGUAUACAUCACGUAUACUUCUUUUUUAAUCUAAUACAUUUACAUUUAUCCAAAAAAAAAAAAAAAGCCCAACCGCAUGUUUGUUAGCUUCUGCUGAAGGUGAGUUAUGGCAUUUGGGUAUGGAAUUUUAGGGCCUGGAAAUUGUUUUCUAGCAUAAACACAUGUUUGACAAUUUUCUGUAAACAGUUUUUUCAAAAUUCUUCUAAAAACAGGUGUUUUUUGGGAACAAAUUUGAGAUUUUUUUCAUGUGUUUUUGUAGUGUGUUCUAAAGAACAAUUGAAAAUAUAAAUAAUAGUUUGAAUGUUUUUACAUCAUAUAUAAGAGUACACUACUUUCAUUGAGAAUAGUUGAGAAAAUUGUUUUUCAUGUUUGAAUUUCCAAACAGAUUUUUAUUCCUGUAAACAAUUGAAAACUAUUCCUAAAAAUUGUCCUCAAAAAUGGUUUUUUGACAACUGUUUUUUAAGACGUUGCAAAUGACUAUCCUAAGCAUUUCUCAACGAUGACUAAUGAGUUUUCUCUGAAUUCUUCUGCAGCUUGAUCUGGAGAAAGGGAUGAUGGACUGCUUAUAUGCAAAAUGUGAGUUCAAUGAAGUUAGUGAUUUUGGCAUUUAUUUAAGCUCAUUCCUAAAUGCUGUUAGUCUUUGUCUAAGAAAUUAUGAUGUUACCAUGGUGGUUUGUAUAUUCACUAUGUUGAAAUUGUCCGCUUCAAAACAUUUUGGGCACAAAAUUGACUAAAUUUUGUAUCUUAUCAAUCUGAAAGUAUUUUUAUGUGAUGGGAUUCUUAUAUUAUUUUGUUUUGUCUUUGUUGCUUCCUUCUAUCUUUUAAUUUUAAAGGCACUCCUUGUAUCACGGAUUGUGUGAUGGCAGAGCUUGAGAAGUUAGGUCAGAAAUACCGCGUGGCUCUGAGGUAAAUUUCCAUUUGUUUUACUCAAUGAAAUUGUGAUUCUCAGUAGUUUUUUCCAUACUAUUCACUGAGAAAAUAUUUUUGAUGAUUCUCACCCUAUUAAGCUAUAUUGGAGUCAAAACUAUACAAUUAUGUGUGCAUGUGAAAUAAGAGCUGCAAAAAAGGGAGAUGAAUAUUUAUUCCCAAUUGAAGAAAUUGAGACAUUGAUAUCCAGUUUUACCAUAAAAUAGAAAGAUAAGAUGUCUCUUGAUCUACUUUCUUGGCAGGAUUGCAAAGGAUCCUCGGUUUGAAAGAUUACUCUGUACUCAUAAGGGAACUUAUGCCGAUGACUGUAUUGUUGAUAGAGUUACUCAGGUAUGAUUUGGAUUCUGCACCAUGUUUACAUGUGUAUUAUCUCGGGCUUCUAUAUACAUUGAUCCCAAGCUAUAUUCAUUUUAUGUAAAAAUUUCCGUCGUCCAAUCUGCUUUGUACUGUGGGGCUAUACAUCUUGUGUAAAUACAUUGCAUGGAGUACAGAAUAUGAGUAGUUACCAAAUUAUCUUAUAAAAAUGUGGGUUACAUCAUCCAGUGGUCUAAAUUUCAAGUUGAUUGAAUAUUUUUCAUAAACCAGCCUUAAUGUUCAAAUCAUGUGUAAUGACGAUAAAACUCCAUCCCGAGCUUCCACUCUUACCCCAACCUUGUUGUUCUGGAUACAGGACCAUACCAAAUCGAUCAUCUAAUGGGCUAUGCAGCUGAAUGUCAUUAUAACUGUCCAAAUUGCUCUGUUAUCUUCUACUAUCCUCUUCGCAUGAGUAAUGUGUGUACUAUACUUUGUUUAAAACAGCAUAAAUGCUACAUUGUUGCUACAUGCGAUCGAGACUUGAAGCGAAGGAUUCGCAAGGUAAAAAUGAAUUGAUGAUGCUCAUGACUUGAUAAUUACUUUGCAUCAAGUUCCAAUAUAUUUUUGAUAGGUGCAUCAAGUUCUAAUAUAUGAAAUUUCUUUUCAAUGUGCAGGUCCCUGGUGUGCCAAUAAUGUACAUUACAAAACACCAGUAUUCAAUUGAGCGGUUGCCCGAAGCGACAAUUGGUGGAGGUAGGCUUGAAACUGUUUAUUUAUAUAUAUAGAUGCAAAUACCCCUUUUUUUCUUUUGCCUUCCCUUCCCUUCCCUGUUCUGAGAUAUCUGUUUCCAUUGAUGCAGCUCCAAGAAUUUAAACUGUGAUUGGUAGCUUACAGGUCUGAGGAAGACAGGUGAUUCUGUUUUUGCUAAUUAUCAAUUUUGUUUACUUGUUGUAACUAAAACCAUCUCUAGAUUCAGGUGGAAUUAUGAUUUUUUGUUGAACUGUUUCUCCUUUUUUAGAGACCACAGAUUCUACAUUGUAAUUUCUAUCAAAUGGGGUGCUUCUUGCUCAUUCAACUUAAGAGUUCUGAUUGUUUUUCUUUAACAGUGCUUCUCCUUCUCUUAGAAUCAUUCCAUCAAUGGGAGAAAAUAUAUCAAAACAAUGGAAAAAGCAAAGUAUAUUAGUAAGCAUGAAGCGUUCAUUUCAAUAAAAAUAACAGUCAAUGCCAUUUUGGAGAUCACUUUUCAACUCCAAUCAAAUCUUGAAUCUUUAAUCAGCUCACAGAUGCUUCUAGUAAUUCUAAUCUUUCUUAGGAACCAAACAGUGGGCAAUGCAAUGGAAUUUGUUGUUCUUGUUGGAUGGCACAUUACCUCUUUUUUUUUUAUUCACGUGUUGGUGAGAGAUAAAGGAAGUUUGUGUAUAGUAACUUUGAACUUUUGUAAUAAAAAAAAAAAAUUGAUUUUUUCAAUUUAAUUUUUUGAAAUGACUUUAUAGGUCAAUAAGAGUUUAUCACACACAACAUCAAAUAUGGGCAAGGAUUUCAAAAGUAAUUUUCUUAAUUUGUAUAUAUGUCUGUAUGUAUAUUCCCUCACCUAAAUCAAAACUCUUCUACCAUGCUAUGCUAUGAAACUAAUUUGAUUCAAAAUAAAAAAUGAAAAAUUGUUUUCAAAAAUAGAAAUUAGUGAUUUUAUAGAAAAAAUAGUAUUGUUUUUUUGUUUCUAAAAACAAAAAUCAAAAUGUCAGAUGAGGCAUAUAUACCUUAGCAAAUUUAAGUUGUUUCUUCACAUUGAAUUCAUACCCGAAAGUCUAUCACAAGUUUCUUGCAAUCUUCUUCCACAAACCUGUAGAUUUGACAAACAAUUUGAUACAUGUGGUCCAACAUAUGUGCCUAUAAAUUUCCAUACCUUCCUCUCAAUUUUUCAUCCAAGCAACAAAGCUCAAUGGCACACCACUCUCUCCUUUCAUUAGCCCUCCUCAGCUUUUUCUUUCUUGCCUCCAUCUCCAACACUAAUGCAGGUACAAUAACAGUCUACUGGGGCCAAAAUGGGAACGAGGGCAGCUUGGCUGAUACCUGCUCCUCAGGCUAUUAUGGAAUUGUCAAUAUUGCUUUCUUGGUUGUUUUUGGCAAUAACCAGACUCCGCAGCUGAAUCUAGCUGGCCAUUGUGACCCGACUUCUAGUGGUUGCACAUGGUUGAGUGAUGACAUUAAAGCAUGCCAGGAUCAAGGCAUCAAGGUGUUGCUUUCCAUCGGAGGUGCCUCGGGAAGCUAUACUUUGAUCUCUGCAGAGGAUGCCAGGUGAUUAUUCUUCAAAAAUAUAUAGACUAUGUUUGGUUCCUAAGAAAAAAAUACUGAAGAAAAGAUCAGUGCUGAUUCUAUUGUUGUGAUGCAGGGAAGUUGCAAAUUACCUAUGGAACAAUUUUUUCGGGGGCCAAUCAAGCUCACGACCGUUAGGAGAUGCUGUUCUAGAUGGGAUUGAUUUUGACAUUGAGGGAGGCACAACCCAGCACUGGGAUGAACUAGCCAAGGCCUUGUCGGAGUUCAGCGGGCAGAGGAAGGUGUACCUAUCAGCAGCUCCACAGUGCCCAUUUCCGGAUGCAUGGUUGGGCACUGCCAUUGCCACAGGUCUAUUCGACUAUGUUUGGGUCCAAUUCUACAACAAUCCCCCCUGCCAAUACUCCGGCAACGCUGACAACCUUAUCAACUCCUGGAACCAAUGGACCACGAUUGAAGCUGGUCAAGUAUUUUUGGGGUUGCCUGCAGCCUCAGCAGCAGCCGGAUCUGGCUACAUCGAACCGGACGUGCUCGUCUCCCAGGUCCUGCCGUCCAUCAAGACUUCCCCCAAGUAUGGAGGUGUGAUGCUUUGGUCUAGAUAUUAUGAUAAUGGCUAUAGUGCAGCCAUUCUGUCCAGUGUUUGAAGUCUUGUCUUCCUAUAUAUGUCUACUUCUAAUAUGGUCACAUAAAUGAGCUUUGAUACUUUCUGAAACUUGAAUGAAAUAUAAAUUUUCUGCUGUGAUGAUUAAUACAAAUAUAUAUAUAGAUGGCACAAUAUCUUUCAAAGGCUCUCUCUAAAAGCCUCUGCUUACCAAGCAGCCCAUUUGCCUCAACCAUGUACUCCCAACUCUACUUUGCAAUUCCCUUGCUGAUCUUGCAGUUUAUCAAUCUCAUCACAUUUAAAUUUUUUUAAAUGAAAAUAUUAUCGUAGAACCCUAUUGAAAUAUAUGGUCAAUACAAAAAUCAUAGGCAUAGGAGAAAGGCCACAUUAAUGAGUCACGGCUCAUGAAUGCCAAUCCAGUUAGCUUUCCAUAGCUUUCCAUUUCGGGUAGUUGGAUGUCCAGGGUGCCAAUCAAGUUAGGCAGAUGUUUCCAUUUCCAGAUCAUUUUUAACAGAAGCAAAGUUUGGCAUAAGAAAAUAGUGAAAUAUGGGCUAUGAAAUGGGCAUAUUCCUACAUCCAACAGAUUCAUUAAACCACCAACCAAACAAUAAUCAAUGGCUCUCCAUAGCUUUCCAUUUCGGGUAAUUGGAUUUCUAGGGUGCCAAUCCAGUUAGGCAGAUGUUUCCAUUUCCAUAUUAUUUUUAACAGAAGCAAAGUUUGGCAUAAGAAAAUAGCUGGAUUAUUAAGGAUAUGUUUGGCAACUGCUUUUGAAAAACAGAUUUUUUGGAAACCCAAAAUGUUUUUAAUAGUUUUAAAAAUAAUUUUUAUAUUUAGUAUUUUAUUUUUAAUCAUUUUAUAUAUUUGUAUAAUUAUUUUUUAAAAUAACUCUUAUAAAACAAAUGAAAACAGUAAAAAACAACUAAAAAAUAUUCUUCAAAAAUACAAUUUUUUUGUUCUUAAGAACAUAAAUAGAAAAUAAUUUUUUAUUGUCAAACAUGUUUUCUAGCCUUUUUUUGUUUUGGAGAACGAAAAAUUGUUCUAAAAAACAAUUGUUGAAUAGACCUUAAGGCUUUGUUUAAGAUGUGUUUUCAAAAAUAGUUUUUGAAAAUUGUUCUCUAAUAUUUUUUAACAUGUUUUUUUUAACCUUUUUUAAUAUAUUUUAAAAAUAAUUUUUAAAUGUGAUGCUUUAUUUUUUUUUAUCAUUCUCUAUAUUUAUAUUAUUAUUUUUUUAAACAGUCUUCAUAAAAUAGAUGAAAAUAAAUGAAAUAAAUAAAAGAUGCAUGUUUUCCAAAAUUUCUUUUUUUUUUUUUCAAUUUUAAGAAAGAAAACUAUUUUCUAUUUUCUAUUUUCUAAUUACUAAAUAUGUUUUUUAUUUUUAUUUUUUAUCUUAGAGAACAAAAAAUUGUUUUUAAAAACAAAUACCAAACCCGAGUUAAUAAUUUUGAAGAAUUAUCCCAAAAAACAAAGAACAAGACAAACUUAAACUUGUAUGACAUAUCCAUCUUCAUGUGAAAGAAAAAUAAAACUAAAAACUAUUCAAAAACGUUAAAUGAAUACUAGAAACAUGUUUUCAAAUCCUUCUCAAUAAGAAUAACUUUUUAAAUUAGAACAAUUUUCAAAUCCUUGUCCAUAUCACAUAGAUGAAUAAAAAUUCUAAGAUGCUUCGAAAGAUGUUUCAUACAAAUAUUCUAAAAUAUCAUAUUGUAUUAUUAGUCAUUAUGAUAUACUCUAUCUACCUAUAAACUCCUUUAAAAACUUAAAUUAAAAUAAUCAUUAUUUUAAAAACGAUCAAUUGAGCUUAACAAAACCUAACCUCUAAUCCAAGGUACUCAACUCAAUUCCAACUCAACUUUAUUCCUCUAAACUCGAGUUGAGUUCAGAUUAUUCAUGUUAGACUCAGAUUUAUAGAGUUAAACUUAAGUCAAUUGGAUUAAGUUCAAGUUGAUUAAAUUACAUAAUUUAAAAUAUAUCUAUCCAACCCUCCAUCUAAUCUAUUGAAAUAUGUGAUAAAAUUUAAAUACUUAAUGGAAAUCCAAAUAAAUAUGACUAAAAUAUAAUGAUACAAAUGAAUGAAACUUAAGUAAAAAAUAAUUAGAUCGAAAUAUUUAUACGGAUAUUUACAAUUUGAUAAUGACUUUCUAUAAGAAAAGCCUCAUUGAUGAGUCAUGGUUCAUGAAUGCCAAUCCAUUUAGACAGAACUACUUUUGUCUAUUUCCAAACCAUUUUUAAUAAAGUCAAUAUUGAUAUAGUAAAUAGUUUGCCACGUUUUAUUUGAUUCUAUUUAAUAAUUGUAUUAUCAAUAGUGUAAUUGGAUGUACGAUGUGUCAACCCAAUUAGGCAGAUGUCCAUUUCCAAAUUUAUUUUCAACAUAAGCCACAUGCCCCGUUUGACGUAGGAAAAUGCCUUGUUGACACGUUUUUUUUUUUAAAAUUAUAUUACAUCAAUGCAGUAAGUUUGUAUUAUUGCUUUCAAGUGAAGGUGAAAUAAUUUUACAUUACAGAAAUUAUAGUGAUUUUAGAAAGUGUUUUUAAUAUUUUAAUACUUAAAAGAUAAAAAAUUUAAAAUGUUAAAAAUACUAAAAUUGCUUUCAAAAAUCACUAUCAAAUACAUUCUAAAAUUUCUUUGACGAACGAUUUUGAGGGAAUAAAAUACUCUUUUAACAUAGAAAGUUGUUUAUUAUAAAAAUUAAAGUAUUUAAUAAAAAAUUUAAAAUAAUUUUAAAACAUUUAUUUAUUUUUUGUAUAAAAUAUAAUGACUCUUAUGAGUUUUCAUUGAAAAAGUAAUAAUUUUAAAAACUAUUUAAUAUUAAAAAAAUAUCUUUUUUAUUCCUUUCACUUUGAUUAUAGUCCAAUAAAAAAUAAUGAAAGUAUUUUCUUUAUUUUAAAGUCAACAAAUGAUUUAGAAUGGUCUAUUCUCAAAUAACUAAAUAAAAAACACAUGUAGUUUUUUUUUGUGAUUUCUCAAAUUUGUCGGAAGAUUUUGUGAAACAUUUUCUUCUGUGUGGAGUCAUUUUGUCAAUCUCCAUCAUUGAAAGAAUUUACCAUUAUUUAUAGGCAAAAUUAGCCAAUUAAAUUUGGAAUAUUCAAGAUUUAAUUGCUUAAUUAGAGAAUUUCGUUCUUUAAUUUUAGCAACUUGUUUUCUUUCUUUAGGAAAUUUCUAAAGAAAAUAUUUAUUUUUAAUUCUCUUCUUACUUCAAUUAAAAAAUUAGUCUCCUUUGUUUAGGAAAAUAUUUAUUUCUAAUUCUCCUUGACUUUGAUUUUAUUUUGUCCGACUUAAUUUUGUAGUCAUCCAAAUUUAAUUUGUUUGGUAAAAUAACUUAAUGAUAUGAAUUAAAGUUAACAACAACUUUAAGUAAUAAGUAAAAACAAUUAACUUAUUUUAAGUUCAUAUUUUCAUUUUUACCUUUUUACUCAUAUUUGUCCUAUUACUCCUAUGAUCUUUUUUUACUGUUCCACGACGUCCAUUAUUACUUGAUAUAUUUUGUCCUAAUUAUAAUUUAUGAGAAUAAAUAUAUCAAUUUGAUGAUUUAGAAUAAAUUUUAAGUUAAUUUUAUCAAACAAUCUUAAUACUUAAAGUAAGAAUUAAAUAAUAAAUUUUAAGUUAACAAUUUAAAUAUAAUUUAACUUAAAAUCAACUUAAGUUAUUAAGUAAUGAAUAUUAAGUUUUACCAAACAACUUUGUUGUUUGUUUGAAAAUAGAUUAUGUUUUUUAUUUUUAAAAAUGAAAAAUAGUGGUAAGUUGUAUAUAUCAUGUAUAUAAUAACUUUUAUUUAUAGAAUUAAAAAAAAUUUAUAUUUUUAAAAUUUGUAAAAAUAAAAAUAUUUUAGUAUUUCAAUUUUUUUUAGAACAUUUUUCAAAAGCCAUUAUGUUUUUUUUUCUUCUUUUUAAGAUAAGUAUAAAGGACUUUUUGUAUUUAAAAUAAGAAAUCAAAAUGCCAACAUGGAAAAAGAGAAAAGAUACAUGCAUGAACGUUUUAAUUGAGGGAGGCAUCCGACCCUCUUCAAAUAGUUUUUAGAAGAGAUUAUGACUUAAUAUGCUAAUUGAGUUCAAAUUCUAUAAGUUUAAAUUUUUAAGAAAAUUGAUAAGUUUUUUUAUUUAUUUAUUUUUUUAUUAUGAAAGUAUUAAUAAUUCAAAUUUUAUAUAGUCUAUUUUUUUGUAAUUUUAAAAAGCACUUUUAAUAAAAAAAAAUUUAAGAAAAAUAAGAUAUUUUGAAAAAUUUAGGAAAAGCUUUUAUAAAGUUUAAAAAUCACUUCUAAAACUUAUUAGAGAAGCAUUUGAAAGAAGAUUCUAACCAAAACACUACCCUUCAAACCAUCCUUAUCUCCUGCACUCCACUUUUAAGAUAAGAAAUCAAAAUGUGGACAUGGAAAAGGUGAAAAGAUGCAUGCAUGAUCCAUGAACGUGUUAAAUGAGGCAUCCCGGCCCUCUGCAAAAAUGUGAAAUAUGGGCUAUAAAUAGGGCAUAUUCCUACAUCCAACAGAUUCAUUAAACCACCAACCAAACAAUAAUCAAUGGCUCUCCAUAGCUUUGCAGCAGUAGUAGUAGUAACGCUAGUCUCUUGCCUGCUGGCUCCUCCUGCAGUCGAGGCCUCAUCAGUCAAUAUCUCUACUUACUGGGGCACUGAUGCAAGAGAAGGUAGCGUGGAAGAUGACUGUAACGCCUCCUUGUAUAGUAUCUUCAACAUCGGUUUCGUAGACAGAUUUGGAUAUGACUGGCCUCCAAGACUCAACAUCCACCACUGUAACGCAUCAGUACAGGGGUGCAAGUACCUGGGCACUGAAAUAAAAGUUUGCCAAGAAAGGGGGGUUAAAGUGCUCAUCUCUAUUGGAGGCCCGGGUGGAGACUACAACCUCGCCUCUUCAGAUGAUGCUACGUAAGUUAGUUGCUAAAACUGAUGAUGAUGAUGAUUUAACAGAAAAUAAAAUCGUUUUAAAAAACAGUUGCCAAACAGGGCUAAGCUAAUUAGGUGCCUUAUUGAUUGAUUUUCACUUCAUUUUAAUUUGUAGGGAGCUCGCAAACUACUUGUGGAACGCCUAUCUUGGUGGCAACCAAUCGACUGUUGAUCGUCCGUUUGAGGAUGCAAUUCUGGAUGGAGUUGACUUCUUCAUUCAGGCAGGCAGUACCCUGUAUUGGGAUGUGCUUGCUGAGGCCCUUAGAAACCUCAGCAAUAAUGGAACCCAGAUGGAAUUAAGUGCCACUCCCAAAUGCAAAUACCCAGACGAAUACCUCGGCGCUGCAAUUCAAACCGGGCUCUUUGAUUAUGCUCAGGUGCGAUUCUAUGAUGAAGAUGGCUGCCAGUAUAAUGGCAGCUUCGACGGCAUGAAGAGUGCGUGGGAUGAAUGGACAGCUGAGGCUAAUGUGGAUAAAAUAUUUGCGGGAGUGACUGCAUCUGAAUCUGAUCAAGGUUACGUUGAUGCAGAUGAUCUGGCCUCUGAGUUCCUACCAGAUGCUGAGCAGUCCCCAAAGUUUGGAGGUCUGAUGGUGUGGUAUCUCUACACUGACCAUCAGUCCGGUUACAGCGCAAGGAUCAAAGCUUUGAAUCCUACAAUUCAAACUGCUCCUUCAGGAGUUGAAGUUGAAUAAGCAGAUCUGUAUGAAUGGCGGCUGAUCAUCCCAUGAUCAGUAAGCUUAAGUACGUACUUUGAAAUAGUAUUGUAACGCCUGCUGUUUGCUUUUCAUUCAAUAAAUUUGGCCUCUCAUGCAUAUUUCCUCACAGAGACACAUGUGAUCUGGGGGGUAAAUAUAUAGGUAUGAAGCCAAAACAAGCUUGUACCUAGUCUGAUGUAUCCCUGUUAAUGAAGUUGUGUGGUUUGUGUGAUAAAAUUACCUUUAGCCUGCCUGUUGGUAUCUUCCAUUUACAAAUGCAAAUGACACUUGAUCUACAUUAUUACUUAUAUAAUUUAUUUAUUUACUUACUCUUCUAUUUUCAUAUUUCUUUAAUAUAUAUUAUUUCUUUUUUAUAAAUAAAAAAAUUACUUAGUAUACAUGCUUCCGGUAUUUCUUUAUUCUUUUAUUAUAUUGUUCUUUUUUACCAAAAAAAAAAAUUAUUUAUUUACUUGAUCUUCUAAUUUCAAAACCUUUUCGUCCUUUUUUUUUUUUAAUAUAUAUUCUUUUUUAUAAAGAAACUUGAAUUAUUUAUUCACUAAAUUAUUCAUCUAUUAAAUUAUUAUUAUUAUUAUAUUUCUUCAAUUAUAAAAGGCAUAAAUCCUAACUCUCAUAGUUAAUAGUGGUUACUCAGGGCUUUAUUUCUAGGGUUAUUUUUUUGGAAGAAACAAAUGGAGGCGUUAGGGUUUGUUUUUGCUACAUACAAUAUUUUUCUAUUUAUACUAAACCUUUAUUUACGUAAUUUUCUAUAUUUAUUUAUUAUUUUAUUUAUUUCUCUAUUAUUGCUAGAUGUUAUAUUUAUAAAAAUUUAAAUUAUUUAAUUACUCAAUAUUUUUUAUAUUUAUUUUUUGAUAUAUAUUAUUCUUGUUUUAGAAAAAAAAAAUUAACUAACUUUUUAUUUACUUAAUUUCAAGUUUUGAUAUUUCUUAAAAUCUUUUUUAUUUCAUAUUUUAAUAAAUGAUUAUUUUUUAUAACAUAAAAUAAAAUAAUUCCAAAUUGAUUAAGUCAUUCAAAUAAAAUAAAAAUAAAAAAAGGUAAAUAUUGUUAAGUAACAACAUAUCAUAAAAAUUUAAAAUAUUUUACUUCUUGGAAAUGUUAAAAGUAAAUUAUUGAUUUUUUUUCUUUAUUUUUUAAUACAUAAUACAAAUAAAAUAUUUAAAAAAAUGAAGAAUUUAACACUUAACACUAUUAAUAUUAUUCAAUUUUAAAUUCUAUUUAAAAUUAAGAAAAAAAAAAACAUCGCCUUACUAUAGAAUUAAAUUAGAUAAUCUAAUAUAAAUUAUUUAUAUUUAAAAAAAAUUAUUUUAUAUUUAAUAAUACCAAAACAACUCUCACUUGUGCUUUUACAUCUCUUCCUCAACUUCAAAGAUAAUAAUGAAACAUAUUUUUCUUUAAGUACUCAACCCAAUUUAUCCUAAUAGAACAAAACAGAUUUAGAAAAAUCCUAAACCGGUUAGAAACGGGUUUAAGAAGAUAUUGGUUAUAGUAUUACCUCAUCCCAGCUCUAUGUCUUUAUCAUUUAUAUGUAUAAUUAAAUAAAAAUAAUAGUUCAUUUUUAUUUUUUAUUUAAAAAAAAUUAAAUAUGGGAUGACAUACCCAAGUUGCCACCUCAAUUGGGCGAAGCUAACCAUCAUCCUCAACCCACGCACAAUAUCACAAUUAAUUAUAUAUGCAUGCCACCAUAAUGAUGAUUGAAAGGUAGGAUCACACCCCCCCUUUUUUUUUUUUUAAUUUUAUUAAAUUAUGAUUUUAAAAAAAAUGUAUAGAUGUCUCAAUGUUUUAGAGGUGAAAUAUUUAGAAAAGUUUUUUAAAUAUUAAAAAAUGUAUUUCAAAAUCAAAUAUCAAGAUAUAAAUUUCAAAGUAGGUUGUAUUGAAUUUAAAAAAUAAUAAUGUCAACUCAAUUUUAAUAGAAAUCUUUUUAAAAUACAAUCCCAAAUAGUAAUUAUUUUUAUUUCUAUUUUUAUUUUCUGUUAAAUAGAUUUAGCAAAUGAUAUGUGUUUAUAUUUGAAUUUGACAUAUGAAUUCUUUAUAAAAAUUGAACCACAUAAUCACCAAAUCUUAACUUGAACUUUCCUUAAAGUUCAAACCUCCUUAUUAUUUUUUUUGUGAAAAAUACGUUUUAUAUCAAAUAAAUUUAUUAAAAAUAGAAUUCUUUUUUUCAUUUGAAUUUUGAGAAUCUCCAAUGUCUAUAAGUUUGAAAUUCAAAAAAUAAUUAUUUAUGCUUUUGAAAAAGAGUUAUUUGUAAAGAUUUAAUUGGCAAAGUUUCCAAAUUAUUCUAUAGAACUUUACAUUGAAGAGGUAUAUCUUGUGUUUUUGAAUUUAUUAAUUAUUUUUUAAAAUAAAAUAAUAUAUAAAAAUGGAAAUAUACGAACUCAUUCUCAUUGAAGAUAUUAUAUAUACUAUUAAGAAAGAUUCUAUGUUCUUCUCUAUGAAAGAACCCAUAAACACACCAUAACAUAAUGUUUGCAAAAAUUACAAAGGAGGAGGAGGAGAAAGAGAAAUUACAAAGGAGGAGGAGGAGAAAGAGAUAUAAACAAAUAAAAAAGAAUAAUAGCUUCACGCAAAUUUUGGAGAAAUCCAAAGUAGAGGUUGUGGGGAAUGUGGGAAAAGCAGUGUAACAGUCCUAUCACUUAGACUGAAAACAUACAUACUUCCAUCAGCAUUUGAAAAAAAACUACAACGUUGGCAGAAGUAUAUAGAAUUUGGCCGGCAUCCCGCAAAAUCAGAAGCUAUGACAGAAAUUGAAUGAUUGUCUCCCAAAAACAAGGCAACAUCGCCCAAACUCAUAACCUCUUCCCAUCUUGGAUUCUUUGAAAAUCAUUGUAACUUAUAAAUCACAAAUCCGGCCCCCUUCAUGCUUUGUAACCUGCAAGAGAUCUCCUUCAGGAGAUUCCACUGGAUUCUUUGAAAACCAUUGUAACUUAUAAAUCACAAAUCCCCUUUCAUGCUUUAUAACCCGCAAGAGAUCUCCUUCAGGAGAUUCCACCAAAUAUGAGUCAAGAGCACAAUGAAUAUCGGGUGAAGUAAUCCUUCUCACUUUAAAAUCAUUACUCACAUCACAAGAGAAGAGCACACCCCGUCCGUCUAAUACAUAGAAUAACCCAUUGCUGUAAACAAUGUCUUUCACAUCCCGCAACCCUUCAAUAUAAGUCCAGUCUUCUUCUCCUGAUUUAAUGAAUGCUAAUCUUACUACCAAACUACCACACGUCAUAUGAGUACAAACUCGUCCCCAUUCACAUCAGGAUCAAUAGACAAUACACCCCUCCUCGGGUUAUAAGGGAAGAUAGUUCUGUACACACUGCCUGAAAGUUCACGGAAUGAUGAUUUUUCGAGGGGAGGAAGAUGAAUGAGUUUUCCAGAGAAUGGGUUGUGGAGGGUUACCUUAUAAGAAUCAUUAUUUACCAGAAUCAACCAGCCAUGAGAAGACCCUCCACACCUCCAUCGCCCCUGCCUCAACUGAACCUCCCAAAGGCUUUUUCCGUUCAUGACGUCAUAUAAACAGCACCUUUCUCUGGAAUUAUCUGCGGUGGGAGCCAUUAACAAUGGGACUUGUUGGUGCAGACGACAAUGGCGUUUAUGGUUAGAGCGUAAAUGUUGAAGUUUUUCGCGAACUGCAUACUGCCAUUGAAUGCAAACCUCACCGAAUGUGAAGUAGUCCUCCAUGGGCACUAAGUAAUCUAAGAUCGAACCGAGAAGAUUUAUACAGAGUGAUGCCCAAUCUGAACUUGAGGGCAAAGCCAUUCUUCUGAUUGUGAUCGAGAAGAGGAAGAAGAUGAUGAAAAAUUAGGGUUUAACAGAUUAGGGUUUAACGUAUAUAAAAAAAAAUAAAGGGUGGGUGCAUGUAUAUAUAUAGGACUGAGUACAAAUUUGGAAACCUAAUUUCAAUCCAAAUAUAACUCUAUAGAUUUAUAGAAUUUAAUAAUAAAAUUUAAUCGCAUUAUAAAAUAUUUUAGUUAAUUUAAUUUAUAUCUAUAUCUAUAAAUUAAGUAGACUUAUUUUUUUUUAAAUAAUUUAAAUAUUAAAAUUUUCUUUUUAUUUUCUUAAAUCGCAUUAUAAAAUUUUCUUAAAUAGCUCAUCAUGCAUUAUAAAAUAAUCUUUUUAUUUUUUUUCCAUAUUUUUAUUCUUUUGUUUCCAUAUAUUGUUCAUGUCUUAUUCAUUACUUGAACUUUUAAACCUUCUAUUUUCAUAUUUCUUUAAUAUAUACUAUUUCUUUUUAUAAAAAAAAAAAAAAUUUACUUAGUAAACAUGCUUUCGGUAUUUCUUUAUUCUUUCAUGUAUAUUAUAUAUAUAUAUAUAUAUAUAUAUAUAUAUAUAUAUAUUUUAACUUGAUUUUCUAUUUUCAAAAUCUAUCGUCCAUAUUUUUUAAAUAUAUGUUAUUUUUUAUAAAAAAAAACUUGAAUUAUUUAUUGACUAAAUUAUUCAUCUAUUAAAUAAUUUUAUUAUUAUUAUUAUUAUUAUUAUUAUUAUUAUUAUUAUUAUUAUUAUUCUAAUUAAAUUAAAAAAAGGCAUAAAUUCUAUAUCUCAUAGUUAAUCACGGUAGAAUAUUUUUAUUUUCUUUUUGUUCAAAUUUGAAAUCUAUUAAUCAGUAUAAUUAAUUGAUUCCUACCUAGGGCAUUAUUUCUAGAGUUAUUUCUUCCAAGAAACAAAUGGAAGGGUUAGGGCUUGUUUUUGCUACAUUCUUAUUUUUCUAUUUGCACUAAACUUUUAUUUGCUUAAUUUUCUAUAUUUAUUUAUUAUUGUAUUUAUUCCUUUAUUAUUGCUAGAUAUUAUAUUUAUAAAAAUUUAAAUUAUUUAUUUACUCAAUAAGUUUUAUAAACAGAAAUAUUAAUGUGAACAUGGCAAAAGAGAAAAGAUUCAUGCAGAAUCGUAUUAAAGGAGACGUUCCCUCUCCAAAGUAUCGUACGAUCCUCAAUAAUAAUAAAAGUGUUGGUGCAUAUAACACGUACCAAUUAUUAUCAAAAGAUGCAUGCAUGAACGUGUUAAAUGAGGCAUCCCUUAUGCAAAUCAAGUGGUUUCUUGACAUUAAAUUCAUACCCGAAAGUCUAUAACAAGUUUCUUGCAAUCUUCUUCCACAAACGUGUAGAUUUGACAAACAUUUUGAUACAUAUAGUCCAACAUAUGUACCUAUAAAUUUCCAUACCUUCCUCUCAAUUUUUCAUCCAAGCAACAAAGCUCAAUGGCACACCGCUCUCUCCUUUCAUUGGCCCUCCUCAGCUUUUUCUUUCUUGCCUUGAUCUCCAACACUAAUGCAGGUACAAUAACAGUCUACUGGGGCCAAAAUGGGAACGAGGGCAGCUUGGCUGAUACCUGCUCCUCGGGCUAUUAUGGAAUUGUCAAUAUUGCUUUCUUGGUUGUUUUUGGCAAUAACCAGACUCCGCAGAUGAAUCUAGCUGGCCAUUGAGACCCGAACUCUGGUGGUUGAUCAUGGUUGAGUACUGGCAUUAAAGCAUGCCAGGAUCAAGGCAUCAAGGUGUUGCGAGGUGCCUCGGGAAGCUAUACCUUGACCUCUGUAGAGGAUGCCAGGUGAUUAUUCUUCUCAAAUACGUAGACUAUGUUUGGUUCCUAAGAAAAAAAUACUAAAUAAAAUGAUAUUCGAUUUCCACCCAUUUUUCUUUCUUUCUAUUUUUUCUCUUUAUUUUCUCUCCCUCUCAUUUUCCCUCAAACUUUCGGGGACCCAAUCAUAGCCAUAGCCAUAGCGUCUAAUCCUUGUGGGAUCAAUGCUGAUUUUGUUGUUGUGAUGCAGGCAAGUUGCAAAUUACCUAUGGAACAAUUUUCUUGGGGGCCAAUCAAGCUCACGACCAUUAGGAGAUGCUGUUUUAGAUGGGAUUGAUUUUGACAUUCAGGGAGGCACAACCCAGCACUGGGAUGAACUAGCCAAGACCUUGUCGGAGUUCAGCGGGCAGAGGAAGGUGUACCUAUCAGCAGCUCCACAGUGCCCAUUUCCGGAUGCAUGGAUGGGCACUGCCAUUGCCACAGGCCUAUUCGACUAUGUUUGGGUCCAAUUCUACAACAAUCCCCCCUGUCAAUACUCCGGCAACGCCGACAACUUAAUCAACUCCUGGAACCAAUGGACCACGAUUGAAGCUGGUCAAGUAUUUUUGGGAUUGCCGGCAGCCCCAGCAGCAGCUGGGUCUGGCUACAUCGAACAGGACGUGCUCGUCUCCCAGGUCCUGCCGUCCAUCAAGACUUCCCCCAAGUAUGGAGGUGUCAUGCUUUGGUCUAGAUAUUAU
rnacentral:lncRNA from 1 species